ACAAUGCACAGGUACUGAUUGUAUUCAGUGCUGGCAAGUCUGACAGGGCCUCUGAGUCACCGUCCCCUACAUUGGAGGAGUCUAGCACUCUGAGAAUUUUUAUGCUGUGCUUGGUAAGUAUCUAGCACAUUUCCUGGCACAUAGUAAGUCUUCCCUAGGGAUUUGUGGGUUGAUUGAGUGGGAACUUGAGAAGGAACUUCUGGGGUCAUGCUAAUGCAAGGUACCUCUGGCUUUGACUCUGACAAAGGUGAGGUCCAGGAGGUUUUGUUGGGGAAGACAAGGCCAAGCCUGUGAGGGUGGCCCUAACAAGACAGAGAUGCCACUUGAGGACCUUUGUUCUCUGGGCUUUCUCCCCACCUUCCUAUCCAUUUUGCAUUUAUUGGCUUGAUGUCUCCGUUGGGGAAUUUGUUUUACAGCCUCCCUCCCUCUCAGAGGCAAAUUACUAUCUCUGUUUUAAAACUCUCACCGAGCCUCCAUGAGGGGCAUUUUGCAUUCAGGUGGCUUUGGGGAUAGUGACUGAGAACUACCUUGCCAGAAGGUUCUACUUUACAUUCAUACUAAGUUUCUCUUGUUGGAACUGAGAGUCAGUUUCUCCAUUCCUGGUUUUAUUGAACAACUUCCCACUGACCUCUUUUCUGGCAUGGCUCACCUUCCCUGGGGUGCAUUCAGUGAUGAACCCAGAAGUUCUUCCCCAGCAUUCUGCCUUCUGUGACCUUCCUUACAAGGGUGCUGGUGGUCUCCCUCCCCUUGGAAUCAGCCAGUGAAAUUCCAGGGUGCGUGGAGGAUACUUUCCAUGGGGCAUCUGAUUCACCAUUGUCUGAAUAAGGAAAUCACUUCUUAUGUCAAGGUUGGGAGCCCCUGUGAGCAGCUGGAGGGGCUUUCCCUUGGAGUGGAAGAUCCCCAAGUCCCUGAACUCAUACUGCCAGGAAGAAGACCUCCUUGAGAAGAAGAUGGGUGAGUGAAGGCAACAAGUAAUUGACACGGAUCGAGCAUCUACACCGGGUACCUUUGUGUGGCUCUCUUGGGGCUUGUGGCUGUCUGUAGGGGAGCCCAGCAAGCAA
rnacentral:lncRNA from 1 species